rnacentral:rRNA from 1 species
AUGAACGCUGGCGGCGUGCCUAAUACAUGCAAGUCGAGCGAACAGACGAGGAGCUUGCUCCUCUUACGUUAGCGGCGGACGGGUGAGUAACACGUGGAUAACCUACCUAUAAGACUGGGAUAACUUCUGGAAACCGGAGCUAAUACCGGAUAAUAUAUUGAACCGCAUGGUUCAAUAGUGAAAGACGGUUUUGCUGUCACUUAUAGAUGGAUCCGCGCCGCAUUAGCUAGUUGGUAAGGUAACGGCUUACCAAGGCAACGAUGCGUAGCCGACCUGAGAGGGUGAUCGGCCACACUGGAACUGAGACACGGUCCAGACUCCUACGGGAGGCAGCAGUAGGGAAUCUUCCGCAAUGGGCGAAAGCCUGACGGAGCAACGCCGCGUGAGUGAUGAAGGUCUUCGGAUCGUAAAACUCUGUUAUUAGGGAAGAACAAAUGUGUAAGUAACUAUGCACGUCUUGACGGUACCUAAUCAGAAAGCCACGGCUAACUACGUG